UACGUAGGGUGCAAGCGUUAAUCGGAAUUACUGGGCGUAAAGCGUGCGCAGGCGGUUGUGUAAGUCAGAUGUGAAAUCCCCGGGCUCAACCUGGGAAUUGCAUUUGAGACCGCACGGCUAGAGUGUGUCAGAGGGGGGUAGAAUUCCACGUGUAGCAGUGAAAUGCGUAGAGAUGUGGAGGAAUACCGAUGGCGAAGGCAGCCCCCUGGGAUAACACUGACGCUCAUGCACGAAAGCGUGGGGAGCAAACAGG
rnacentral:rRNA from 1 species